rnacentral:rRNA from 1 species
UACGGGGGGUGCGAGCGUUGUCCGGAAUCACUGGGCGUAAAGGGCGCGUAGGUGGUUUGAUAAGGGUGUGGUGAAAGUCCGGGGCUCAACCCCGGAUCUGCCGUGCCGACUGUCAAACUCGAGGACUGUAGAGGCAGACGGAAUUCCGGGUGUAGCGGUGGAAUGCGUAGAGAUCCGGAGGAAUACCGAUGGCGAAGGCAGCCCCCUGGGAUAACACUGACGCUCAUGUACGAAAGCGUGGGUAGCAAACAGG